CCCCUGGGAAGAAGGAGGAGGGAGCCCAGGCUCAGCUUGCUGAGCCCCCUCUCUCCAAGCCUGGGAUUUAAAAAAAAAAAAUUUUGGGGGGGCUGGGUUUUGCAGACGGCUGGGGGUCAGAGGGAGGAGGAAGAGACUAUAACUCAUGACUCGGAUACCUGGGCCUUGUUUUUUUUUUUGAACCCUGGAAUUCCACCAUCCCUCUCCCCCCUCCCCCCUUUUUGACCUAACGUCCUCACUCUAUUGCAAAAUGAGAGCCACAGCCCAUGUCUCACGGAGAAUUAACUUUCUGAGACAUGACGAGGGAGGGAGGCUGGGUGAGGGGGGCUCCUGGGCCCCGCCAGGCAUGCCCCCUGGUCCUCCCUCCCUGAGUGUGGUCACCGGGGGCUCCAGGUGACGGGAGCGGGCACCCUGGGGUGCCAUGGGUGCUUAGGAGGGUCUCGAAGGAUCUGGAGGGGUGGGGGGGGGCAUGGAGAUCCCAGGGGUGGGUCAGACAGGAAGUGACCCCGGUAUCAUUCCACCCCAAUCGGCGGUCCCUGUGUUACCGGUUUCUGUGAAGGGCCACGGCUUCCGAAAUCCCCCAUUUUGAGCCUCCUCUCAUCAUCUCCCCUUUUGCUCCCCCCUCCCCCACAUGGUUUAUUUCAAAGACCUUCUCGGCCAAGGGAGGGGAGAAGAGCAUCUAGGAAAAUCUUCUCUUUCCAUAGCCAGUCCUCCCGCCCCCACCCCCUCCCUUUCUUUCCUUCUGCCGGCUUUUUUUUGGCUCGGGUCCGAGUCUGGACAGUGCAAGGUCCUGGCCUGGACGGGUGUCUGCCCCGGGGGCUGACGCCCCACAGCAGAGGGCAGGCCUAAGCCCGCAGUGUGAAUUUAUCAGAAGGAGGUGUGUGAGCGGAUCAGGUCGAAAGGAGAGAAAGUGGGAGAGACGUGUCCCUUGCUGUCACUGGCUUCAGGGGGAUCAGCCAGUCAGAGCAACACCCCACACUCCCGCCCACCCCGCCAUGGACAGCUGUUUUGAGAGCGUCGUCAUUUUAUUUUAUUUAAAAAAAAACACAAAUAAAAACAGGAAUGAUUUCUCUUCUGUGGCUUCAGGCUGAGGAGCUAAGUGUCUUUUUGACUUCUGUCUUUUUGACUCUGCCCAGCGCUUGGCCAUCCGCUCAGAAACACCUGAAGUUUAAAAAACGUUCUCUCUCCCGGACCCCGGAAUGGAACAGCUUUACAAAUAGCCUUAAGCAAAAGGAUGGCAUUUCGUUACAUCUGGUUCCAUGGGAAACAUAAAAGGCAAAUGAGAAACACACCCCCAGCCCACGAGGUUCCAGACACUGGUAAUGGGUACUCCCAUCGCGAACUCUUCGGGGGGGAAAAAAUAAAACAAAAAAACGUUCUUGCACAUGUAACAUAGGAAACCUUAACUCUGCUGUGUUAGGCAAUCCUGUAACCUUCUUUGACUCUUAAAAAAAAAAGAAAUUCAUUUCUGAGAUGCUUGGUUGGGAGACUGUGACAAUAGCUCAUGAAAUUGAGUGUUAUUUUUCUUUCUUUCUUUUUUUAAAAAAAAAACCUAUGUAAAGUGCAGUCUUCUGUAUUCAUGCAUAUUGUAUAUACCUGUAUAUGUUUUCCUGAGCAGCUAAAUAACAAUAAAUAUGACGUUAAUGGUG